rnacentral:rRNA from 1 species
UACGGGGGGGGUAAGCGUUGUUCGGAAUUACUGGGCGUAAAGGGCGCGUAGGCGGUCGUGACAAGUCACUUGUGAAAUCUCCGGGCUUAACUCGGAACGGUCAAGUGAUACUGUCGGACUAGAGUACAGAAGGGGCAACUGGAGUUCUCGGUGUAGCGGUGAAAUGCGUAGAUAUCGAGAGGAACACCUGCGGCGAAGGCGGGUUGCUGGGCUGAUACUGACGCUGAGGCGCGAAAGCCAGGGGAGCGAACGGG